rnacentral:rRNA from 1 species
UACAGAGGGGGCAAGCGUUGUUCGGAAUUACUGGGCGUAAAGGGCGCGUAGGCGGCGCGGUAAGUCGGGUGUGAAAUCUUGGAGCUUAACUCCGAAACUGCAUUCGAUACUGCCGUGCUUGAGGACUGGAGAGGAGACUGGAAUUUACGGUGUAGCGGUGAAAUGCGUAGAUAUCGUAAGGAAGACUAGUGGCGAAGGCGGGUCUCUGGACAGUUCCUGACGCUGAGGCACGAAGGCCAGGGGAGCAAACGGG